UGUUUUUUUCUGCGCUUGUCAAAAAGAAAUUUAUUGCUGCGCCACUAACAGAGAUAAAAACUUUUGCCUUCUUUGCUUUAUAUAAAUCAUUAUAAUUGGUCAAAGAAAACAAGGAGUAACCCUGUGAAAAUAACACCCUAGCAAAGACCGCUAGAUAAUUGGCGAUUCUAAUUAGAUUUAUGACGUGGCGAAAAACAAUUGGCUAUCAUACAAACAAAACCCGCUUACAUUUUUCGCAAAGUCGAAGACAACUCUGCCCACACCUUGGAGUAAAUCUGACAAUUUGAUCAGUUGUCAGCGUCUUCCCGCCGCGACCUCCCUGGCAUACCCUUGCCCCGCAUGCCCGAUAAGCCGACCGCUGGCCCGUAUAUAUAUAUAUAUAUAUAUAUAUAUCUGCAGAACGACUGAACGACGAUCUCUAAGCUGUAACUAACUAAGUAUCUCUGACCUCCGUCUUACACCACCUUGACGUUGGCUGAUCUCAUACAGCGCGCUUUAAACUAGCUUCACCAGGGGAUGGGACCACAUGGGGACAUGAGGACACUUCCCUGCCAAGACAGGUGACGAGCAUGAGAAGUACCCAGAACAAUGUGGCCUGGGAUUCCUGAUACAGCAGCAGCUUUCUGAUCAAAAACAGGAAAGACAAGACAUCAUUCAAAGCUCUGGCUUUAUGAUAACAUGAACAUUACACCCAACCACAUUUGGGGACGCAUCUCGCAUAUGGUAAUAAUCUGCCAGCCCCCUGAAAAGGGCUGACAAGGCCUUAAAGGGUUUGUGCGCCAAAUGAGAAGCAAUCUUUAGAAAGCAGGUCUGUGUGGGACAUCAGUUAUCACACAUCAUGUUUUGUUGAAUGAUUUGUGUGGAUUCUCAGAAACCAGUAAACUCAGGAUGUAAAUCUUCAUGUGAUCAGAGCAUAUGGCCUUCAAAAAUAAAGCAUAGAGUGAAUGGCAGGCAAGCAGGCAGCCUAUCUUCUGUAAAAUCUGAUUGAGGGAAUCCUCUGAGAACUUUCUCUAACACACAGCUGAAAGGAUUUUAAAGGCUGACCUACUGUUUCCCUGAAGGGACAGAUGGAAUAAAUACUUUUACAGGGCCUGCUCCCCCCCAACCACUGGCCUCUUUCCAGGUGCAAACUUAAUGAAAGCAGUGGGCCUCUGUCUGAGGCAUUCUUUUCAGGGCAAAAUCCUGACUUCCUUGAGCUGCUUUACUGAUUUAUAUGGGGACAGUCCAGGUGAAUAAGGGAAAAAAAAUUAAAAAUUAUCCAGUAGACUGAUUAGGUUCUGUCUCUCCAGGGUUUAGAUGGAAGGGGGCAGAAUUUCUCUAGCCAUAUGAUUUUGCUUCAUCACUCAAGCCACUCAUUUGUGGUGCAUUCAUUUACAGCACUAAAAGCCAAUGUUAUAUUAGCUCCUGCUGGUCAAAGCUGUUAUGGUAUGUGACAUUUUAUGGAUACGGAUUUUGGGUAUAUUUGGCCAUGAGUUAGAAACCAAGCACAAAUAAAAAUAAAAUUCCUC